rnacentral:rRNA from 1 species
UACAGAGGGGGCAAGCGUUGUUCGGAAUUACUGGGCGUAAAGGGCGCGUAGGUGGCCCGCUAAGUCGAACGUGAAAAUCCCCCGAGCUCAACUCGGGAACUGCGUCCGAUACUGGUGGGCUUGAAUCCGGGAGAGGGAUGCGGAAUUCCAGGUGUAGCGGUGAAAUGCGUAGAUAUCUGGAGGAACACCGGUGGCGAAGGCGGCAUCCUGGACCGGCAUUGACGCUGAGGCGCGAAAGCUAGGGGAGCAAACGGGG